UACGUAGGGACCGAGCGUUGUCCGGAAUCAUUGGGCGUAAAGAGCGUGUAGGCGGCCUGAAAGGUCAGCUGUGAAAACUCGAGGCUCAACCUCGAGACGUCGGUUGAAACCAUCUGGCUAGAGUCCGGAAGAGGAGUGUGGAAUUCCCGGUGUAGCGGUGAAAUGCGCAGAUAUCGGGAAAGAACCACCGUGCGAAGGCGGCACUCUGGGACGGUACUGACGCUGAGACGCGAAAGCGUGGGGAGCGAACAGG
rnacentral:rRNA from 1 species